rnacentral:rRNA from 1 species
UACGUAGGGGGCUAGCGUUGUCCGGAAUCAUUGGGCGUAAAGCGCGCGUAGGCGGCCAGGUAAGUCCGCUGUGAAAGUCAGAGGCUCAACCUCUGAAUGUCAGUGGAUACUGCCGGGCUAGAGUCCGGAAGAGGCGAGUGGAAUUCCUGGUGUAGCGGUGGAAUGCGCAGAUAUCUGGAGGAACACCGAUGGCGAAGGCAGCUCGCUGGGACGUGACUGACGCUGAGACGCGAAAGCGUGGGGAGCAAACAGG